AUCGCUUCUCAGCCUUUUGGCUAAGAUCAAGUGUAGAAAUUGAUCUCAUUAAUGGUUAAAGCAGCAUGAAAAUAAUGUGGCCAGUUUGAAGAGUUGAAAUACAUAUAAAGGCAAGGGCCUUUAUAUGUAAUUCACCUAAAUGGCAAAAUGCUCCUGUUAACAGUUUUGUUUUUAUUACUGAAG